rnacentral:lncRNA from 1 species
CCGUUCCCUCGCCUCCAUUUCUUCAUGGUUGGCUUUGCACCACUGACCUCAAGGGGUUCUCAGCAGUACCGUGCCCUCACUGUUCCUGAGUUGACCCAGCAGAUGUGGGACUCAAAGAACAUGAUGUGUGCUGCUGACCCGCGGCACGGCCGCUACCUCACAGCCUCUGCCAUGUUCCGUGGGAAGAUGAGCACCAAGGAGGUUGACGAGCAGAUGCUGAACGUCCAGAACAAGAACUCAUCAUACUUUGUGGAGUGGAUACCCAACAAUGUGAAGUCAAGCGUGUGUGACAUCCCUCCCACAGGCCUGUCAAUGUCGUCCACCUUUGUCGGCAACUCCACCUCCAUCCAGGAGAUGUUCCGCCGUGUGAGCGAGCAGUUCACUGCCAUGUUCAGGAGGAAGGCUUUCUUGCACUGGUACACCGGGGAGGGCAUGGAUGAGAUGGAGUUCACCGAGGCGGAGAGCAACAUGAACGAUCUGGUCGCUGAGUACCAGCAGUACCAGGAUGCCACAGCCGACGAGGAGGAAGAGUAUGACGAGGAGGAGGAAGAGGAGGCUGCCUAAGCCACCUGACCUCAUAUGGUCAUCCUGCUGUCUGUUAGAUAUGCCUUGUGUUUACUAUUGCUGUCGAUUUGGUGGUGCUUGUGGUGCGGAUAGAUCUUUAGGUGGUUGGUAACACUUAUAGAUGCUUUUGCUGCUUCGGCGAAUCGAUAUUUUUUGAACUGUUUUUUUUUUGUAUGUUGAUGGUGGUUUUAUGCGAACUGUGAUAUUAGCGUAACUGUGGGCUUGAUACCCGUAAAUUUGGCAACUAUAUUUUGUGUCUGUUUUCUGUGCAUUUUGGCUCAUGAUUUCUGAAAUUUGACCUAUUGUUGCUGCAAAUUUUCGCAGCUAUAUGCUCCAACAUUUCAAAAAGAGAAGUCGUAUACUCCGAGCACU